CUACUCGCAGAACCAUCCUAAUGUUGAGAUUUCAUUUACCUCGAAGUUGGAUGGGUCCCCUCAAGCAGUCAUGGCCCUUUGGGGUUCAUGGGGGUAACCGUCAAUGUCCUUGGCUUGUGUCUGUCCCUAGGCCUGGCUACGGCUGCAAAGGUCUUGGUGUGGGUGAUGGAAGGAGCUGCCUGGCUCCUUUCUCUAUGCCCUUCCAGCUCCAGCCUUGACUUGACAUCUAGCCUUGCCCCUUAUACUCUAGGAUUUGUUCUGACCCCUACAUUUCUACGUGUAAAAAGCUUGCUUUCUUCACAGAGCUUUCCUGCGGUUCUUCUUACCAAGUCAUCUCAGGUCAGCCUUUGUCCUUGACCUUCUUAGCCCCAAGUCUCUGAGUCCUGCCCAUUCUUUGCUAUCUGGUAUCCUUGCUGUCUCAGAACCUCAGUUCUCCAGUGCCUGGGGUCCUGCUCUUAAGCUCCCAUCUCCUAGUGCCCAGGCUCCUGUCUGUCACCGCCUCCCAGCAACUUCACCUCGGUCUGUGUCCAAGCCUCUAGAUGCCUUGUCCCCAAGGGAUUCCCAAGUGUUGACCCCUGAUACUCUUGUAGCCAACUGCCUGAAGUUGCUUGAAGUCAACUGCCUGAAACCCUCAUUUGGGCCAGUUUCCUGUGCUCUCAGCUGGAUCAACAUGCUGGACCUUGGGCUCAGCCUCAGCCUUGGUUCAGGUACUUCUACUCCUCUGGGCCAUUCCCCUCAACCUGCUCUCCAGCUCUUAAAUCCCCCUCUUAAGACGUAGGGUACUUGAGGACAAGCGGUUGGAUGUGGCAACCAGAGAAGGAGGUAAGAGCCAGGUUUGAAGGGACUUGUGGGCCGGCUAAGGAGUUUGAACACUGAGCACAAUGAAGAAGGACUAAUUUUCUUUUCCGCUGAGAGAAAUUGAAAGGAAAGUCUGAUAGCUGCAUAGAGUCCCCAGCAUUGUAAGGGGACAACAGCAGAGGUGACUCCUGAUGGAGAGCAAGGACUGCCGAAGUCUGGACUGGGGAUCGUGGCUGUAGGAUGGCGAGAAGGAACCCAGUGGGGUCACCUUCCCCUCCCGUCCACUCAGGCGCAUCCAGUAUACUCUCCGCAUGGCAGCCAGAGUGAUUUUCAUGUGUAAAUCUGUCAUCCGCCCCCAUCCCACCCACCCUUUUCUGUCCUCCUAGAGCAAGGGCCAAAAUCCUUAUAAGAUGCUGAAUAAUAGGGCCUUUGCCUACCUCCCCAUCUCCACCCCCAUCAUUAUUCCUGUAAUUCAUUAUGCUUCAGCCACAAUGGCCUUUCUCAAGGUCUCACUCAUUCCACCUCAUUCAGGACUUGUGCAUACACUCUUCUCUCUGCUUAGAAAUUAAACUCCCCACCCCACGCCCUUGAUCUAGUUAACUCCUGAGGCAUUCUUUAAAUGUCUUCUUAAAGGUCCCUUCCUCAGAGAAGCCCUCCUGGCCCCCCAACUAAGCACUUAAUAACUCUGCGUACUCCUUUCAUAACAUCGUUUCCCUGUUUCCCCGACUAGACUGUGAGCUCUGUGAAGGCAGGGACCUCGUCUACUUUUGCUCACCAUGAGAUACCUAAUGCAACGCCUAGGGCUCAAGACUUACUCACUAAGCGAACAAAUGAGCGAAUUAAACAGAACUUCGUGAACAGAGUGAGGACGGAGCGGGGGAGGAAUCCGUAAUGAUUCCUAGGUUUCUAGCUUGGCAGGGUCGUUGCCAUUGACUGAGGAAGAAAAGUAAGUUGGGGGGAUAGGCUGAAUACGAGGUACUGACAACUUUAAGGUGGCAAUGUGGAAUAGCCUGCAGAUAAGUGGGUCUGAAACUCCAAAGAAAGCUUGGCCAGGGAUAGAAAUUCAGGAGUCACAAUUCCAUAUGCAGUUGGAACCCUGGAGUGGCCAAGAUCACUCAGCAGAAGAAAUAGAUUGAGAAAAGAAGAGGGCUCAGGUAGAAUCACUCACGGAACAAUAACAAGAAAUGGAGGAAGUGAUGGAGUUCAUGAUGACUCAUAGAGAGCUCCCUUCUCCUCCCCCUCCCCUUGAAUUCUGCAAGACAAAUGGUUAGCUCCAAUCUGGAUUGUUCUUGAUGACGACAGAGACCAAAACAUUUCCUUGAACUUCACGCUGGAAUCAUUCACACGGAAGAGGACAUUUCCUUGGACGCCUGCCAGACACAGAAGGGCUUGCUUCUACCGCAGACAGUGUCCUGAUUAGUUUGAGGGGGUCGCGAAUGUUUAUUCUCCAUCUACCACCACGGAAAGCUCCGGGGAGCUGAAAUAUAUUCAGAUUCCUGACUCUUUCUCAACGCCCUGCAGAAACCCAGCAAAGACAGGACAAGGUACGACCCUCGAUGCCAGAGCUGGAGAGACGCCAAGACCCAGGGUCCCUCUGAGCUGAGGGACAGGAAGCCCAAGGAGGAGGUUAGGACUUGAGCAUCUGGGGGCACGGACUAAGGGAAUUUGAACUAAGAAAUCGAGGCUGACAGUGUGGGUCAACCUCCUUAGCUGUGGAGUCCAUGACUUCUAGGUCCUCCUUCAAAUCUCCAAUGCUGCCUGGUCUGUGAUCUUUUGUUAAGGCAGCCGACCAGACCGGCGCACUUGGUUAUGAUCCGACUUCUCAACAGGAUAACUUGCCGGCAGCGGUAGACCUGUGAGGACUGCUUCUCCAGCGACAAUUGGCCCGAUUUGUAGGAUUUGCCAGGCACUGUGGUGUAAAUGUCCUUACCGUGGCCCAUUUUAAGGUGGCGGUGUGCUAUCGCUGAUGAUCUACCAAGCCAAGAAGAGAUGUAUGCCAUUAAAUUUCACCAGCAGUCCCACCAGCUAGUGGCCCAAUGUUUGUCAGCCAAUCCCAGGAGCAAAUAUUUAUAGUAGCUCAUUGUAUAGCAGGAUCUCAUUUGCUUAUUUUUGUUUUGUUUUAAUUUUUUUAAAUGUUUAUUUAUA